AUUGAACGCUGGCGGCAUGCUUUACACAUGCAAGUCGAACGGUAACAGGUUAAGCUGACGAGUGGCGAACGGGUGAGUAAUGCAUCGGAACGUGCCCGGUCGUGGGGGAUAACGCAGCGAAAGCUGCGCUAAUACCGCAUACGAUCUGAGGAUGAAAGCGGGGGACCGUAAGGCCUCGCGCGAUCGGAGCGGCCGAUGUCAGAUUAGGUAGUUGGUGGGGUAAAGGCUCACCAAGCCGACGAUCUGUAGCUGGUCUGAGAGGACGAACAGCCACACUGGGGAUGAGAAACGGCCUAGACUCCUUCUGGAGGGAGCAGUGGGGAAUUUUGGACAAUGUGCGCAAGCCUGAUCCAGCAAUGCCGCGUGCAGGAAGGAGGCCUUCGGGUUGUAAACUGCUUUUGUACGGGGCGAAAAGGCUCUCUCUAAUACAGGGGGCUCAUGACGGUACCGUAAGAAUAAGCACCGGCUAACUACGUGCCAGCAGCCGCGGUAA
rnacentral:rRNA from 1 species